UACGUAGGGUGCAAGCGUUGUCCGGAAUUAUUGGGCGUAAAGAGCUUGUAGGCGGUUUGUCGCGUCUGCUGUGAAAUUUCGGGGCUCAACCCCGAACUUGCAGUGGGUACGGGCAGACUAGAGUGUGGUAGGGGAGACUGGAAUUCCUGGUGUAGCGGUGAAAUGCGCAGAUAUCAGGAGGAACACCGGUGGCGAAGGCGGGUCUCUGGGCCGAUACUGACGCUGAGAAGCGAAAGCAUGGGGAGCGAACAGG
rnacentral:rRNA from 1 species